rnacentral:rRNA from 1 species
GCAAGUCGAGCGCACUCUUCGGAGUGAGCGGCGGACGGGUUAGUAACGCGUGGGAACAUACCCUUCUCUACGGAAUAGCCUCGGGAAACUGAGAGUAAUACCGUAUACGCCCUUUGGGGGAAAGAUUUAUCGGUGAAGGAUUAGCCCGCGUCUGAUUAGAUAGUUGGUGGGGUAAUGGCCUACCAAGUCUACGAUCAGUAGCUGGUUUGAGAGGAUGAUC